rnacentral:rRNA from 1 species
AGUGAACGCUGGCGGUAGGCCUAACACAUGCAAGUCGAACGGCAGCACAGUAAGAGCUUGCUCUUACGGGUGGCGAGUGGCGGACGGGUGAGGAAUACAUCGGAAUCUACUUUUUCGUGGGGGAUAACGUAGGGAAACUUACGCUAAUACCGCAUACGACCUACGGGUGAAAGCAGGGGAUCUUCGGACCUUGCGCGAUUGAAUGAGCCGAUGUCGGAUUAGCUAGUUGGCGGGGUAAAGGCCCACCAAGGCGACGAUCCGUAGCUGGUCUGAGAGGAUGAUCAGCCAAACUGGAACUGUGACACGGUCCAGACUCCUAAGGGAGGCAGCAGUGGGGAAUAUUGGACAAUGGGCGCAAGCCUGAUCCAGCCAUACCGCGUGGGUGAAGAAGGCCUUCGGGUUGUAAAGCCCUUUUGUUGGGAAAGAAAAGCAGCAGGUUAAUACCCCGCUGUUCUGACGGUACCCAAAGAAUAAGCACCGGCUAACUUCGUG